CUCUACCUCUGUUUGUGAGCGAUCAGCCUUAAAGCUGUACAUCCUGGUUGAGUGAACUGAAGUCUUUGCAUAGAGGAGUCGCCUGGAUAAUUUAGCUCGCAGUGCAGCAUGUGACCAGGAGUCUAUAUGCUUAAUUGUUUUUGUGCUAGUUUUCCAUUCACAGUGCUGAUGCUUCAGAGAGCAUCAUCGGGUACGCGCAGCAUCCGGAGGACCGACCGUGCGCGUCCACGAGAGAGAGAGGAGAGUGAAAGGAGGAGGAGGAGGGGGGAGAGAGACAGGGUGCUGAAAAUGAUGGCGACCGAUGCAGAGGAGAUAAGAACCCAAACAAGCCCCUGCCCCAUCCCCGACAACAGUCUCAGCACCCUGUCCAUCAAAAUCACGCGGAAAAAUCAGGACAGACACUGGAAGUUGCGGUUUAUUUACCUGCAGUGCUAUUUCUUGACAAUUGCAACAAUACUGGGAACUGGAAUCUUAGGUCUUCCAGUGACAAUAGCCCACGCUGGACUGGUGCCUUUCCUUGUCUCGUUUCUUGUUGGCUUCUUUGUUCAGGCCUUGCUUAUCUACCUGUUUGUCGAACUUCUUCAGAAAUGUCAGGUGGUGCAGCUGGAAUCUCUGAAGACAGGUGUUGCAGAGUGUAUUGUCAUGGAUCAGGUGGGUGUGGAGGCUCCAUCACCCACAGAGGAAGAGGACGAGGAUGAUUCGAGUGAAAAUGCAGAAGCAGACACAGGUCUACUUCAGCCUGAUGCAGUAUCUUUGCACAACCAAGCAGAGAACCUGGAGCCCAACCUUCAUCUGCUCGGCCACCUCUUCCUCUCCCGGCCAAUGAGUCAUGCCUUCAACUGCAUCCUCCUCUUCCAGUUUAUUUCUAUUGGAAUAAGUUAUGUCUUAGCCGGCAGUGAGGCCUACGCUGCUCUUCUUAAUAUCAGCCACAUCUACGUCAUCCCGGUGUUCACCUGGAUCCUAACUCUUGCCAUCUUACUGGCCCACACAGUCAUCCAGCCAGUCACGUCGCUGCUCACCCUGCUGAAAGGGAUCCUGCUCAUUGUCACGGUGGCUGUGACAUUCGCGGUGGGGUCAGAGGUCGGCCUUCAAAGCAGCAGUGACUUCAGGCAGAUGGGGAAACCUUUCCUAAUGGGCACGGUGGCUCUGGGAGGGAUCGUAAACGUGAUGCCUCUGCUCUUCUCACAGAUCUCACACAACAAAACACAGAUCCUUUGGUUUCGGAGAGCAGUGCUCGGAGGUCUGACAACCUGUACUGUGCUCAACAUCCUCUGGUGCUGGGCGGUGCUGGAAAUCGUCCCCCAGACGUCGUUAUCAGAAAGGCGGACGCCGGCUGAGACGAUGACCCAUCCCGACUCCAGCAUCCCGCCUGGUCCUCCUUCGUCCGUCUCUCCUCUGCUGUACUCCAACAUCUCACUGGAAGAGUCUGAGAAAGCGGGAGAGAUUGCAACUAUUCCACUGACGAAGAUUAUUAAUGAACGUUACAGGGCGUACUCCUGGGUGGCUGAGCUGAUCCAGGUCUUCAUCGCCAUCAGUGUCAGCGUCUCCUUCCUGGUGAUGGGAUCUGCCAUGAAACACACCAUCGACGGCCUGGUGACGGCGCUGUGGAGCAGCAGGCUGGAGUGGCUGUCCAAAGCCUGGGAGAGAAACCUGCCAAACAAACAGCACAUCUGCUCUGCGAGGAGCUUGGCCAAAGGAUUCAUGUCGCUGCUUGGAUUUACUAUCAUUUUUAUCGUAUCAAUGUGUGAUCCCAGGGGUUUUAUCGUCAUGUUGGACAAAGUCGUGUCGUUCUCGCUCAACACUGAAGUCGGCCUGUUUGUCUUCAUCAUGCUGAGAGAAGCCAGAGAGGACAGAUUCCAGCACCUGGCCGUCCCGCUGCCGGUCGGCGACUGCGUCUUCAGCCUCAGCUGGCUGCUGCCCUGCUACUUCCUGUUUGCGGUCACCUACGACGUGCUGCAGACGCUGGCGGACGUGGCUCACUACCUGCACCUGUACAGCCACGGCCUGGAAGCACACGUCCACAACCUGACCGAGAACUUCACGGCAGCCAAUCUGUCCGUCCUGCUCUGA
ensembl:lncRNA